CCACGGCAAUCAAAUAACGCG
rnacentral:rRNA from 1 species